AGAGUUUGAUCAUGGCUCAGGACGAACGCUGGCGCCACGCUUAACACAUGCAAGUCGAACGAGAGAAGAGGAGCUUGCUUUUCUGAUCUAGUGGCGGACGGGUGAGUAACACGUGAGCAAUCUGCCUUUCAGAGGGGGAUACCGAUUGGAAACGAUCGUUAAUACCGCAUAACAUAAUUGAACCGCAUGAUUUGAUUAUCAAAGAUUUAUCGCUGAAAGAUGAGCUCGCGUCUGAUUAGCUAGUUGGUAAGGUAACGGCUUACCAAGGCGACGAUCAGUAGCCGGACUGAGAGGUUGAUCGGCCACAUUGGGACUGAGACACGGCCCAGACUCCUACGGGAGGCAGCAGUGGGGAAUAUUGCACAAUGGAGGAAACUCUGAUGCAGCGAUGCCGCGUGAGGGAAGAAGGUUUUAGGAUUGUAAACCUCUGUCUUCAGGGACGAAAAAAGACGGUACCUGAGGAGGAAGCUCCGGCUAACUACGUGCCAGCAGCCGCGGUAAUACGUAGGGAGCGAGCGUUGUCCGGAAUUACUGGGUGUAAAGGGAGCGUAGGCGGGAUCGCAAGUCAGAUGUGAAAACUAUGGGCUUAACCCAUAAACUGCAUUUGAAACUGUGGUUCUUGAGUGAAGUAGAGGUAAGCGGAAUUCCUAGUGUAGCGGUGAAAUGCGUAGAUAUUAGGAGGAACAUCAGUGGCGAAGGCGGCUUACUGGGCUUUAACUGACGCUGAGGCUCGAAAGCGUGGGGAGCAAACAGGAUUAGAUACCCUGGUAGUCCACGCCGUAAACGAUGAUUACUAGGUGUGGGGGGACUGACCCCUUCCGUGCCGCAGCAAACGCAAUAAGUAAUCCACCUGGGGAGUACGACCGCAAGGUUGAAACUCAAAGGAAUUGACGGGGGCCCGCACAAGCAGUGGAGUAUGUGGAUUAAUUCGAAGCAACGCGAAGAACCUUACCAGGUCUUGACAUCGUAUGCAUAGCUCAGAGAUGAGUGAAAUCUCUUCGGAGACAUAUAGACAGGUGGUGCAUGGUUGUCGUCAGCUCGUGUCGUGAGAUGUUGGGUUAAGUCCCGCAACGAGCGCAACCCUUACUGUUAGUUGCUACGCAAGAGCACUCUAGCAGGACUGCCGUUGACAAAACGGAGGAAGGUGGGGAUGACGUCAAAUCAUCAUGCCCCUUAUGACCUGGGCCUCACACGUACUACAAUGGCUGUCAACAGAGGGAAGCAAAGCCGCGAGGUGGAGCGAACCCCUAAAAGCAGUCUUAGUUCGGAUUGUAGGCUGCAACCCGCCUACAUGAAGUCGGAAUUGCUAGUAAUCGCAGAUCAGCAUGCUGCGGUGAAUACGUUCCCGGGCCUUGUACACACCGCCCGUCACGCCAUGGGAGUCGGUAACACCCGAAGCCUGUAGUCUAACCGCAAGGAGGACGCAGUCGAAGGUGGGAUUGAUGACUGGGGUGAAGUCGUAACAAGGUA
rnacentral:rRNA from 1 species